rnacentral:rRNA from 3 species
AGUGGCGGACCGGUGAGUAAUGUCUGGGAAACUGCCCGAUGGAGGGGGAUAACUACUGGAAACGGUAGCUAAUACCGCAUAACGUCGCAAGACCAAAGUGGGGGACCUUCGGGCCUCACACCAUCGGAUGUGCCCAGAUGGGAUUAGCUAGUAGGUGGGGUAAUGGCUCACCUAGGCGACGAUCCCUAGCUGGUCUGAGAGGAUGACCAGCCACACUGGAACUGAGACACGGUCCAGACUCCUACGGGAGGCAGCAGUGGGGAAUAUUGCACAAUGGGCGCAAGCCUGAUGCAGCCAUGCCGCGUGUAUGAAGAAGGCCUUCGGGUUGUAAAGUACUUUCAGCGGGGAGGAAGGCGGUGAGGUUAAUAACCUUGCCGAUUGACGUUACCCGCAGAAGAAGCACCGGCUAACUCCGUGCCAGCAGCCGCGGUAAUACGGAGGGUGCAAGCGUUAAUCGGAAUUACUGGGCGUAAAGCGCACGCAGGCGGUCUGUUAAGUCAGAUGUGAAAUCCCCGGGCUUAACCUGGGAACUGCAUUUGAAACUGGCAGGCUUGAGUCUCGUA